GAUGAACGCUAGCGGCAGGCUUAAUACAUGCAAGUCGUGGGGCAGCAGGGUUGUAGCAAUACAAUCGCUGGCGACCGGCAAACGGGUGCGUAACACGUACGCAACCUUCCCGUUACUGUGGCAUAGCCCAGGGAAACUUGGAUUAAUACCACAUAUUAUAUUGGUGAGGCAUCUCAUUGAUAUCAAAGCUUCGGCGGUAACGGAUGGGCGUGCGGUUGAUUAGGUAGUUGGCGGGGUAACGGCCCACCAAGCCUACGAUCAAUAGCUGAUGUGAGAGCAUGAUCAGCCACACGGGCACUGAGACACGGGCCCGACUCCUACGGGAGGCAGCAGUAAGGAAUAUUGGGCAAUGGACGAAAGUCUGACCCAGCCAUGCCGCGUGAAGGAUUAAGGUCCUCUGGAUUGUAAACUUCUUUUCUCUGGGGCGAAAACCAGCUAUUCUUAGCUAUUUGACAGUACCAGAGGAAUAAGCACCGGCUAACUCCGUGCCAGCCGCCGCGGUAAUAC
rnacentral:rRNA from 1 species